rnacentral:SRP_RNA from 14 species
GCUGUCCACCUAGGGGUGACAGGAGUGCAGUGGAAACUGGCAAGUCUUGGCUCUGUGGACAAUCAUAGCAUCCCCUGCUAGAAAGCUUUGGGUCUGCAAGGUUUUCAACAUGUAAAUGUUGAUCACCUGGCAGUUGAAAACCCAGGGAUAGGCUCAGGCUGGCAACAGAGCAGGCAAAACUGGGUUCCCAAAGCAGUGGCAGGAC